UUUCGGACCAUUUCUCGGACUGGACUAUAAAGUUAUGUAUAUGAUUUUUACUUAUAAGUGGUUUACAUAUAGUAUUUAAUUCAUGAAAUCAAAUUUGAAACUUCAGUUUUGAUAUUUGACCAACUUAAAUAUUUUAAAAAAAGCUUAUACUGAAGACGGGUGUGUCGUCAAUGAUAACAACAAAUGAUUCAGAGCGAAGUUCGGU